UCUACUGAGUCCUAUGGAUGUCUUGUCUAAGAGGAACUAUCCACCUCAGAACUCAUUUGAUGUGAGAUGACCCAGAGACUCUCAUGAUGGCCAAGCAUCAGGACGGUUCAUUUUCUUCAUUUUUUUAAUACCUUCCUUAAAGCAUUUCAAGUUUCAAAGCUGGUAUUUGGGGAUGAAUCCACAUGUCAACACAAAGCUUAUAGAGACCUACUUUGGUGCUUUCACACACCAAUGCUGCCCAUUCGAUAGUGCUACAAUAAACCUAGAAAGGCUGACCCUCUACCAUCUCUUGAAGUGAGAGUCAGGCUCAUUAUCCAUAUUACCAGGAAGACGCAGAGCAGUAGUGCUUUUAAGCCCAUUCCCAGUAGAACUAGAAGUUUUAGAAUGUUCUAUUGAGAAAUCCUCGAGUUCAGUGAUAUUUUCCCCAGCUGUGUCCAGUCUUUUAAUAAGCC